rnacentral:rRNA from 1 species
UGGCGGCCUUAGCGCGGUGGUCCCACCUGACCCCAUGCCGAACUCAGAAGUGAAACGCCGUAGCGCCGAUGG